UUUUGUUUCCCGUUUGAGAACUUUACAUGGUGUUUUCCCCUGUCUGAGCCGAACGCUACUCGAUGCUAUGGAGUCAGUUAUUCUGUGAAAUCAGUGUAGAAUGUACAGGAACGCGACGGCCAGAGUGGUGAGGAGAAGGAGGAGAAGGUGGAGGCCGAACGCUACUCGAUGCUAUGGAGUCAGUUAUCUGUGAAAUCAGUGUAGAAUGUACAGGACAGCGACGGCCAGAGUGGUGAGGAGAAGGAGGAGAAGGUGGAGGCCGAACGCUACUCGAUGCUAUGGAGUCAGUUAUCUGUGAAAUCAGUGUAGAAUGUACAGGACAGCGACGGCCAGAGUGGUGAGGAGAAGGUGGAGCGCGAACGCUACUCGAUGCUAUGGAGUCAGUUAUCUGUGAAAUCAGUGUAGAAUGUACAGGACAGCGACGGCCAGAGUGGUGAGGAGAAGGAGGAGAAGGUGGAGGCCGAACGCU